rnacentral:rRNA from 1 species
AGCGUUGUCCGGAAUCACUGGGCGUAAAGGGCGCGUAGGCGGCCUGAUAAGUAGGGGGUGAAAUCCUGUGGCUUAACUGCAGGGCUGCCUCCUAGACUGUUAGGCUCGAGCACGGUAGAGGCAGAUGGAAUUCCCGGUGUAGCGGUGGAAUGCGUAGAGAUCGGGAAGAACAUCGGUGGCGAAGGCGGUCUGCUGGGCCGUUGCUGACGCUGAGGCGCAACAGCGUGGGGAGCAAACAGGAUUAGAUACCCUGGUAGUCCACGCCGUAAACGAUGGACACUAGGCGUCGGGGGGAGCGACCCUCUCGGUGCCGUCGCUAACGCAGUAAGUGUCCCGCCUGGGGAGUACGGCCGCAAGGCUG